rnacentral:rRNA from 1 species
AUUGAACGCUGGCGGCAGGCCUAACACAUGCAAGUCGAACGGUAACAGGAAGAAGCUUGCUUCUUUGCUGACGAGUGGCGGACGGGUGAGUAAUGUCUGCGAAACUGCCUGAUGGAGGGGGAUAACUACUGGAAACGGUAGCUAAUACCGCAUAACGUCUCAAGACCAAAGAGGGGGACCUUCGGGCCUCUUGCCAUCGGAUGUGCCCAGAUGGGAUUAGCUAGUAGGUGGGGUAACGGCUCACCUAGGCGACGAUCCCUAGCUGGUCUGAGAGGAUGACCAGCCACACUGGAACUGAGACACGGUCCAGACUCCUACGGGAGGCAGCAGUGGGGAAUAUUGCACAAUGGGCGCAAGCCUGAUGCAGCCAUGCCGCGUGUAUGAAGAAGGCCUUCGGGUUGUAAAGUACUUUCAGCGGGGAGGAAGGGAGUAAAGUUAAUACCUUUGCUCAUUGACGUUACCCGCAGAAGAAGCACCGGCUAACUCCGUG